GGGCUUGUGGUUUAGUGGUAUAAUACUCGCUUAGCAUGUGAGUGGUCCGGGGUUCGAUUCCCCGCGAGUCCA